GGUAGGAGUGCAGUGGCGUGAUCUCGCCUCACCGCAACCUCCGCCUCCUGGGUUCAAGCGAUUCUCUUGCCUCAGCCGCCUGAGUAGCUGGGACUACAGGUUUCCUGCAACCUCACUGGGCAUUUUCAGAAUGAUCUGUACAAGCGUUGACUGAAUGAUUGAUUCCAAGUUCCCCCUUCCUAGGAUUUCAGACCUCCUCUUGACAAGUGAUGAAUGGGCCAUCUUAAUCUUGUUUGGAUCAGAAAGGACCAUACAAUUGAG
rnacentral:lncRNA from 1 species